rnacentral:rRNA from 1 species
UUGAACGCUGGCGGCAGGCCUAACACAUGCAAGUCGAACGGUAACAGGAAGCAGCUUGCUGCUUUGCUGACGAGUGGCGGACGGGUGAGUAAUGUCUGGGAAACUGCCUGAUGGAGGGGGAUAACUACUGGAAACGGUAGCUAAUACCGCAUAACGUCGCAAGACCAAAGAGGGGGACCUUCGGGCCUCUUGCCAUCGGAUGUGCCCAGAUGGGAUUAGCUAGUAGGUGGGGUAACGGCUCACCUAGGCGACGAUCCCUAGCUGGUCUGAGAGGAUGACCAGCCACACUGGAACUGAGACACGGUCCAGACUCCUACGGGAGGCAGCAGUGGGGAAUAUUGCACAAUGGGCGCAAGCCUGAUGCAGCCAUGCCGCGUGUAUGAAGAAGGCCUUCGGGUUGUAAGGUACUUUCAGCGGGGAGGAAGGGAGUAAAGUUAAUACCUUUGCUCAUUGACGUUACCCGCAGAAGAAGCACCGGCUAACUCCGUG